GCAAACGAGUCCGUUGAUGUGCUCCUCGCCUCCUCCAGUCCCACCUUCUCCGCUGUAUGUGAGUCUGUCCCUCUCGUGUGUCGCCCAAAUCCAUCACCCCCCACGUCUCUCCCAUCCCAUCCCCGUGUAGAUUUCAAAUCCGCGUCAGAGCUCAGGUCUGGGUCUCCUCCUUCGCCGCCAGUUGCCUCCUCCAGUCGAGAUCCGCCGUCGGGGAGACCACUGACCAUGGAGGCCAUGGAGGAGCUAUCGGAGCUCGCCGAGUCGAUGCGCCAGGCGGCGUCACUCCUCGCCGACGACGACCCCUCCGACGACGCCGCGCCGCGUCGCCCCACCACCUUCCUCAACGCCGUCGCCCUCGGCAACGUCGGCGCUGGCAAGUCGGCCGUGCUGAACAGCCUCAUCGGCCACCCGGUCUUGCCGACGGGGGAGAACGGGGCGACGCGGGCGCCGAUAGUGGUUGACCUGCAGAGGGAGCCGGGGCUCAGCAGCAAGUCCAUCGUGCUGCAGAUCGACAGCAAGUCGCAGCAGGUUUCCGCAAGUGCUCUCCGGCAUUCACUGCAGGACAGACUCAGCAGGGGAGCAUCUGGUGGAUCAGGGAGGGGCCGUGUUGAUGAGAUUUACCUCAAACUGCGGACCAGUACAGCUCCCUCAUUAAAGCUGAUUGAUUUACCUGGGAUAGACCAGCGAGCUGUUGAUGAUUCCAUGAUCAAUGAGUAUGCUGGGCACAAUGAUGCAAUACUGCUCAUUGUCAUACCCGCAAUGCAAGCUGCUGAUGUUGCAUCAUCUCGAGCUCUGAGGUUGGCCAAGGAUAUCGAUGCAGAUGGGACAAGAACAGUUGGUGUUAUAAGCAAAGUUGAUCAAGCAAAUGGAGAUGCAAAAACUAUAGCCUGUGUUCAGGCCCUACUGUCAAACAAGGGCCCAAAAAACCUUCCUGACAUUGAGUGGGUUGCUCUAAUUGGACAAUCUGUUGCAAUUGCGUCAGCACAAUCAGUUGGGUCUGAAAACUCACUAGAAACAGCCUGGAGAGCUGAAGCUGAAAGCCUGAAAAACAUCUUAACUGGAUCUCCUCAGAAUAAGCUUGGUAGAAUUGCUUUGGUUGACACAAUUGCUAAGCAAAUCCGUAAAAGAAUGAAAGUGCGGGUUCCUAACCUAUUGAGUGGACUUCAGGGUAAGUCUCAAAUGGUGCAAGAUGAACUGGCAAGGCUGGGAGAAUCUAUGGUACAAAGUGCCGAAGGAACCCGAGCAGUUGCUUUGGAGCUGUGCCGAGAAUUUGAGGACAAGUUUCUUGCUCACAUAACAUCUGGUGAGGGAUCUGGAUGGAAAAUUGUUGCAAGUUUUGAAGGCAAGUUUCCAGACAGAAUUAAACAGCUACCGUUGGACCGACAUUUCGAUCUCAACAACGUCAAAAGGAUUGUCUUGGAAGCAGAUGGUUAUCAACCAUAUUUGAUAUCUCCAGAGAAAGGGUUGAGAUCCUUAAUAAAAAUAGUACUGGAAAUGGCAAAGGAGCCAUCACGACUAUGUGUUGAAGAGGUUCAUCGUGUAUUGUUAGACAUAGUCAAUGCUUCCGCAAAUGCCACACCAGGACUUGGGAGAUAUCCUCCAUUCAAGCGUGAGGUUGUUGCAAUAGCAUCAAAUGCAUUGGAGACCUUCAAAAACGACGCCAAAAAGAUGGUCGUUGCGCUUGUUGAUAUGGAACGUGCUUUUGUUCCUCCCCAACAUUUCAUCCGCUUAGUACAAAGAAGAAUGGAAAGACAGCGUCGGGAGGAUGAAUUGAGAAAUCGAUCUUCUAAGAAAACACAAGAAGCUGAACAGCCAACAUCUAAGAGGGCCUCAAGUCCCCAAACAGAUGCUGAGCAAGGUGGUGGCAGCUUAAAAUCAAUGAAAGACAAAUCUGGCCAGCAAGAUAAAGACACAAAAGAGGGAUCAAAUUUGCAAGUUGCUGGUCCUGCUGGUGAAAUUACUGCAGGUUACCUUUUAAAGAAAAGCGCAAAAACUAAUGGGUGGAGCAAAAGAUGGUUUGUUCUUAAUGAGAAGAGUGGAAAGCUUGGGUACACAAAGAAACAAGAGGAGAGACAUUUUCGUGGUGUCAUCACUCUUGAGGAGUGCAACCUUGAGGAGGUAGAGGAGGAAGAGCCUUCUAAAAGUUCAAAGGACUCAAAAAAGGCAAAUGGAUCAGAAAAAAUCUCAAGUCUUGUAUUUAAGAUUACUAAUAGGGUUGCAUACAAAACGGUCCUCAAAGCUCACAGUGCUGUUGUGUUAAAGGCUGAGAGCAUGGCCGACAAGGUUGAGUGGGUAAAUAAGAUCAAAGCUGUUAUUCAGAGCAAAGGGGGUUCUUUCAAGGGUCCAAGUACUGAGGGUAGUUCAAUGAGGCAAAGCAAUUCGGAUGGCGCUUUAGUCCCCUUGUAUAUUUUGGAUGUGCCAAUAUAAAUAUUUUUCCAUUAAAAUACACAAACUAACAUCUGACCAUACAUUUUUCAAAAGGAUACUAUGGCACGUAGACCUGCUGAUCCUGAAGAAGAACUUAGAUGGAUGUCUCAAGAAGUUCGUGGUUAUGUCGAGGCUGUUUUGAAUAGUCUGGCAGCAAAUGUUCCAAAGGCUAUUGUGCUUUGUCAAGUGGAGAAAGCAAAGGAAGACAUGCUUAACCAGCUAUACAGCUCGAUAAGCGGGCAAAGCAAUGCUAAGAUUGAAGAGCUGCUUCAAGAGGACCAUAAUGCUAAGCGCAGAAGGGAGAAGUACCAAAAACAAUCAUCUCUCCUGUCAAAACUUACUCGUCAACUCAGUAUCCAUGAUAACAGGGCAUCUGUUUCCUCUUAUUCUAAUGACACCACUGAAGCCGAGAGCCCUCGAACACCAACCCGCUCAGGUGAGGACUGGAGGUCAGCUUUUGAUUCCGCUUCAAAUGGUCCUGUUGCUGGAAGCACAAACAGUCAAUCAAGGUCCAAAAGUGCUGACGGUCGCAGUCGGCGCUAUGAGAACGGGGACGUGAGCUCAGGUGCCAACUCUGGCAGCCGGCGCACACCAAACCGGUUGCCACCAGCACCGCCAAAAUACUAAUCGUGCUGAUUGGUAUUCAUGAACAUUUAUGUAUUCUUGCCUGGCACAUGCGCCCAGAUCGGCUGCUAGAGAUUGUGGUGUAGUGGAUGGAGUAUCGGGUGAUUGCGUGAACAUUGUGUUCGCAGGUCGCUGCGUCUCAGAUGAGCUGUUUAUAGAAAAAUAUACAGGUAACCGUGGUUUCUACUGUUUAUUAUCUCUGUAUAUUUAUGACGUCCCUGCCUUUUGAUUU